GGGGAUGUAGCUCAGCUGGCAGAGCACUUGCCUAGCACGCAGGAAGCCCUGGGUUCAGUCCUCAACCCUG
rnacentral:tRNA from 1 species